AUUGAACGCUGGCGGCAGGCUUAAUACAUGCAAGUCGAACGGACUACUUCGGUAGUUAGUGGCGAACGGGUGAGUAAUGCCUAGGAAUCUGCCGUUUAAUGGGGGAUAACUGACCGAAAGGUCUGCUAAUACCGCAUACGCCCUACGGGGGAAAGCGGGGGAUCUUCGGACCUUGCGUUAAACGAUGAGCCUAGGUCGGAUUAGCUAGUUGGUGAGGUAAAGGCUCACCAAGGCGACGAUCUGUAGCGGGUCUGAGAGGAUGAUCCGCCACACUGGAACUGAGACACGGUCCAGACUCCUACGGGAGGCAGCGGUGGGGAAUAUUGGACAAUGGGGGCAACCCUGAUCCAGCCAUGCCGCGUGUGUGAAGAAGGCCUUUUGGUUGUAAAGCACUUUAAGCGAGGAGGAGGCUUUGUGGGUUAAUACCCUGCAAAGUGGACGUUACUCGCAGAAUAAGCACCGGCUAACUCUGUGCCAGCAGCCGCCGCGG
rnacentral:rRNA from 1 species